ensembl:lncRNA
CAAAAAACAACUCUUAGAUGUGACUGUCCAGAAGACACUUUCAUACUUCUCUCUAAAGCAAACAAAAACAAACAAACAAACAAACAAAAAAUUUGAACAAAACUAUUCAAAUGGGAAAAUUACCUUAAGAAGAGAAACAGCACGGCCAGAAGUUGAGAUAUUAGUUUACCAUAUGCAGUGAAACCAGCUGAACAUCUAUCCCUACUUCCUCAUUCAUUUGCCCUUUAAAGGAGAAAUCAGAAGUCAGUCCCAAAGGAGUGACUCAGGUUUCCAGUUGGAGCUGAAGGAUGCUACUUGUCCUAUAAAGGACUCCCCACUGCUACCAGCGCUCCUUGAUCCUGCCCUAAGGGCCAUCAAAAUCCCACUACUGUUUCUCACCUCUUCCUUCCAGCAAGCUGGGUCAGAGGCUGGUUAUGUGACCCCCAGCCCUCUCCUAAUUUUAUUGGGAACAAGACAACACUUUUCCUCAGCAGGAGGAGACAAUGAGUAGUGGUGAGAGCCAGAGCUGCACCUCCUUCACCUCCACCAGGUCCCCCUGUAGCACCUCAUUUCUUUAGGGACAAACUGGCUGGCAUUUGCAGCUUUUUAACACCAAGCUCCAUUCCUUCUAGCACAAUAUGUAUAAAUUUAGUCUAAAGCAAACUUUUUCAGUGUUUGAAAGAGAAAGAAUACUCCAACCUCUUCCCUUGGGAAUUUAAGUAACAAGUUUGUCAGGUUUCUCAGUCCUAUAGUACUACUCAGCGACAAUGCAUACAGCUACAACCUUGCCUUACAUAGUUCAUCUGCUAUGUUACAUGUAAAGAUAGCUUUUUAGACUAACACCCACGGAAAUGUCAUGUUAAGUUCGGCAUAUUAUGUGUUUUAAAAGGACCGUGUCAGUCAUGCUGUAUUUCUUUUUCCUUUCAAAAUUUAAACGUUCAGUUGGAUAGAGGCUUGUCAAUUUCAUUCCUCUAGUGAUGUCUUAAAAUAGUGAGCUUUUCUUCUUCUUCUGAAAAAAAAAUAAUAAUAAUCAAGCCAUUAUGAAUAAUCAGACUUUUCGCAGUGAUGAAAAGACCUCCCUCUCUUUGUGUUCUUGGUAGAUGCAGAACUUGAGAGAGGUUCACCUUUGGAUUUUUGCUCUGCUCUGGCUAGAGCAGCUGUAAACACUGACUCAUUUCUUCCAACCUCCCCAAGCUGGAGACAAAGAAAAAAAGAAUGCCCUUAAAUGUUUGUUGGCACUAGAAGAAAUACCCACUUGCCAGAGCACUCAUAGCCACUCCAGAAGUCACUGAGGGGAAUCUCUGCCACUCCUCUUCUAAAAUUGAAAUCCCCUCAGCACAUGGACAAAGGGUGGGAACAGUUGCCCAGGUUUUGGGAAACUAGUUACAUAUCCUUUCCCAUUUUCACUCACAGCAUUGCUUGCAUUGCCUGUCCCCUUCCACCAGAGAUGAGGACCUUGUGUCACCUUUGCCAUUGUGAAGGCUGCACAGGAUCAUACCUCACAAGUCUCAGAGAAUCACAGCGUUUUCUGAGGAAGACUGAAGUGAUGCCUGCUUCUCAGGGGCUUUCAUCAUAGAAUCAUGGCUUGGGUUGAAAGGACCCCAAAGACAAUCUAUUUCCAACCCCUGCCGCGGGCAGGGCUGCCCCCCACCAGCUCAGGCUGCCCAGGGCCUCAUCCAACCUG